rnacentral:tRNA from 1 species
CGGGGUAGCUCAGUCGGCAGAGCGCCCGCCUUGUAAGCGGAUGGUCGCGGGUUCGAUUCCCGCCCCCG